GGACAGCUGCAAAAGUACCCCCGUCCCACGUGUCCUGACGAGGGACCCCUCCCGCUGAGUGCCGGGGUCUCCAUUCCCUCCCUCCUUCCUUCCUUCCUUCCCUCCCUUCUUCCUUCCCUCCCUUCUUCCUUCCCUCCCUCCUUCCUUCCUCCUUCCUUCCUCCUUCCUUCCUCCCUCCUUCCUUCCUUCCUUCCUUCCUUCCUCCCUCCUUCCUUCCUUCCUCCCUCCUUCCUUCCUUCCUUCCCUCCCUUCUUCCUUCCUCCCUCCUUCCUUCCUCCUUCCUUCCUUCCUCCUUCCUUCCUCCUUCCUUCCUCCUUCCUUCCUUCCUCCCUCCUUCCUUCCUUCCUUCCUUCCCUCCCUUCUUCCUUCCCUCCCUUCUUCCUUCCCUCCUUCCUUCCUCCCUCCUUCCUUCCUCCUUCCUUCCUUCCCUCCCUCCUUCCUUCCUUCCUCCUUCCUUCCUCCCUCCUUCCUUCCUUCCUCCUUCCUUCCUCCCUCCUUCCUUCCUUCCUUCCUUCCCUCCCUUCUUCCUUCCCUCCCUUCUUCCUUCCCUCCCUUCUUCCUUCCUCCCUCCUUCCUUCCUUCCUUCCUUCCUUCCUCCUUCCUUCCUUCCUUCCUUCCCUCCCUCCUUCCUUCCUUCCUUCCCUCCCUUCUUCCUUCCCUCCCUUCUUCCUUCCUCCCUCCUUCCUUCCUUCCCUCCUUCCUUCCUCCCUCCUUCCUUCCUUCCCUCCCUUCUUCCUUCCCUCCCUUCUUCCUUCCUCCCUCCUUCCUUCCUUCCUCCUUCCUUCCUUCCUUCCUUCCCUCCUUCCUUCCUUCCUUCCUUCCCUCCCUCCCUUCUUCCUUCCCUCCUUCCUUCCUUCCUUCCUUCCUCCUUCCUUCCUCCUUCCUUCCUCCUUCCUUCCUUCCUUCCUUCCUUCCUCCUUCCUUCCUCCCUCCUUCCUUCCUUCCUCCUUCCUUCCUUCCCUCCCUCCUUCCUUCCUUCCUCCCUUCUUCCUUCCUCCCUUCCUUCUUUCCUUCCCUCCCUCCUUCCUUCCUGCCUGCCUGCCUGCCUGCCUGCUAAGGCACAGGGAUUGA
rnacentral:lncRNA from 1 species